GGGCGUGUGGUGCAGAGGUUAGCAUACUUGCUUUGGGAAAACCUCUUUGCAAGUGGUCCCAGGUUCGAACCCUGGCUCGCCCC